rnacentral:rRNA from 1 species
GGAAGUGGUGUGAGCCAUUAAGCUAACUUGUACUAAUUACCCGUGAGGCUUAACCAUACAACGCCAAACGCGUUU